rnacentral:rRNA from 1 species
UGGGGAAUAUUGCACAAUGGGCGAAAGCCUGAUGCAGCAACGCCGCGUGAGCGAUGAAGGCCUUCGGGUCGUAAAGCUCUGUCCUCAAGGAAGAUAAUGACGGUACUUGAGGAGGAAGCCCCGGCUAACUACGUGCCAGCAGCCGCGGUAAUACGUAGGGGGCUAGCGUUAUCCGGAAUUACUGGGCGUAAAGGGUGCGUAGGUGGUUUCUUAAGUCAGAGGUGAAAGGCUACGGCUCAACCGUAGUAAGCCUUUGAAACUGGGAAACUUGAGUGCAGGAGAGGAGAGUGGAAUUCCUAGUGUAGCGGUAAAAUGCGUAGAUAUUAGGAGGAACACCAGUGGCGAAGGCGGCUAUCUGGACAGUAACUGACGCUGAGGCGCGAAAGCGUGGGGAGCAAACA